GGGCCCAAGACUGGUGUCCCCUCCGUGGGAAGAGAAGAUCCGGAAAGGACCCCCUUUCGCGGGGAGAGGAGAGAAGGGUCGGGACGUGUGCCCCCUCCGCGGGGCGCUGGGAAAGGGGCCGGGACAGCACCGAGCUCAGCCCCAGGCGCCUCUGCGGGACUAGGCGGUUGGAGGCUGCCUUUCCUAAGCAAGCCAAUGGAGUGAAUGAACGUCUUAUUAAUCUGUGCGUAGAACCGGCGGGGAAAGUUGGUUGAGUUCAGAGACUAAGAGGUUUGGAAGAACUCGCGAGUUUGGCUUAACCUGCAGACCAGGACAGGAGAGGCACAGUGACCCUUGCUUCCACCAGCCACUCUCAGAUGGGCUGGAAUACAGACCCCGUGUGGCCUUCUUGCACUUAGAGGAUCUCUCGUGAUUUGAUUUAGGUAGUGCACAACUUUAAGAGGUGGCUGUGAUGGCAUUCAAAUGUUGAGACUUUUUCAAUCUCCAUAGGUCUCUGUAGGCAUCAAAACAAAUUUCCGAAACUGCAGUGCUCUUGCAAAGCGUCUUCUUAAAUCAACUCGUUCACCAGGGAAUGAUGACAAUUUUAGUCUAUUUUAUAUUUUGUCCACUAUUGCUUGGUGUGAUUUCUGCUGAUUAACCUGAAGUGUCUAAUUAGCAAAGCAGAUUGAGUGAACGUGAGAAGUGCUCUUAAAUAUCACAGAAGAGCCUCACGUAUUUGUUUGGUUGUGUGCCUUCUGUUUCUUUCACCAGUGAAGCCAAACCCUGAAAUUUUAAAAUUGUGCUCCCCCCCAAAUUUUGUCAUAUGUGGUCAGGUGGCUCCCUGUGUGUAAAGGAGUUCUUUUUUCUUUCUGCAUGAAGGAAUUUUGCAGAGUUUUCCUAGAGGAACUGUGUUGUAUGGAGAAACUACUGCCUGGGAACGUGAUAGAAAUACAUUAAGCGGUAGCAUUUUUCAUGGUGUGUGUUUAUGGGAAAAUAUUAUUUUAAGACCAACACUAGACAGUAGCAAAUAAGCUUAUGUGUAUUCUUUUCCUUGUAUAGAUUUAGGGAGUAAUAAUGUUUAAUGUUCUAGAAAAUAACACUUAUUUACAGGAUAUGUGUUUCCCAAAUAAAUUUAGCCGAGGAGUGAAAAAGGGAAGGAGCACUGGUGUGAAUAUCUAAGGGGCCUCUGUUCAGUCAUCCUGAUUAAUUACUAAUUCCCUUGCAAACAAUCAAAGUGGAAACACAGUAUUUAAUGCAGUGGUGAAUAACAACAGUGUACUAUUUAAAGAGUUGUUUAAAUCAACUUUUCUGCUUCUGCCAGGCACACACAUAGAUACAUGGUUGUUUUCUCUAGGACUCUGCUGGGCCAUCUUGUCCAUAUUAGCAGCUGUCGCUGCUGCCGUGUACUCAUGUUGGACUGUUCUAGAGAGCAUAGGCGUAGAGAGCAGGUGGAACUGAGGAUUUUUUUUUACUUCGUGUCAGAUAGUGAUGUUAAAGAAUCCGUUGACGUUGAGCACCUCCCCCCGCCCUCCACCCCAGUGAAAGAUGUGAAGCCCAUUGUGAUGGCUAACGUUCGGGUGCUCUCUCAAAGCCCUCAUCUGGCAGUGCAGGGAAUGUGCCUUUGGGGGAUCUAGAGUUAACUCUGGGCACCAUCAUAAUUUUGCUGCUGUCUUAAUCAUUGCUGUUGGGAACUUCUGAAGCUGCAGAAGUGUGCUUGUAGGCCGCCGUUUUUAAACGUUUAAGGCAGAGUGGUUAGUACAUUUAUUUAAAACACAACUUUAGGAAUCACCCAGAAAGGUCAGUAAAGACCAUUUUGUUAAACUUGGCACAGUGCUCUAGCUGGUGCGGUGGUUUCUGGAAGUCCUUUAUUCUUAUUUCCCGCCCCUCUUCCAACUGUUCAUUGUGUAUCUGUCAUGUCUUCUCACAUUUAAAGGGCAUUGCUUUCUCUGGCUUCCAGUGGCUUAAUAUUUGUAUACCAUCGAUCUUUUCAAAAAGACUCUCUUUAGUGGUGCCAAGUUUUCAUUGUUAAAUACCAACCACGGUAUCCUGUCGCGGUAUAUAAGCCCACGAUUUGGGAACUUAUUUCAGUUAUAUAUCGCUUUGCCAACAUGUGAUGCAGUUUGUGUAAACCUCACCUGUUUUUUUUUUUUCUUUUAAGUGAUUUAAGGGAGCUUACAGAGACGCAGGCAUACCUCGCUCUGUUGUGCUGCUCUGUGUUACACAUCACUGAUCAGGCACGUUUUACGAAGUGAAGGUUUGCGGCCACCCUGCUCAGGAAGGAGGGAGUCGUCAGCACCAUUUUCCCAACAGCAUUUGGUCCCUUCAUGUCUCUGUCACGUUUUGGUAAUUCUUGCAAUUAAAACUUUUUUUUUUAUCAUUAUUCUAUUUGUUAAUGGUGACCUGUGAUCAGUGAUUAUGACUGGCUGAACGCUUAACUGAUGGUUACCAUUUUUUAGCAGCGAUUUUUAAUUAAGGUAUAUAGUUUUUUUAGACUAUAUGUGUAAUGCUAUUGCACACUUAAUAGACUAUAGUGCGAAAAUAAUUUCUAUGUGCAUUGAGUUUAUCUGACUCGUUUGAUGGCGAUAUUCACUUUAUUGUGAUGGUCUAGCACCAGACCCACAAUACCUCCAAGGUAUGGCUGUCUAUAUUACACAGUGAAGCAAGAUAAAGAUGGAUGAAAUAAAGAAGGAUGAGGCAAAAAGAAAGCGAGGCUUCAGGAAAGCGAAAUGUGAAAUGGGGGUUCUAAUGAGGUUAGUAACAUUCAUUGCAUCAAAUCUCAUGUACUUUCUGGAGGCAGGCCGUAAAGUGCAUUCUGGGCUUUCUGGCAAGCACAGACAUGAUGUAGGGCUCACUUUGUCUUUCUCACACCUGACAUGGAUUUUCUUAAAUUCCAUGUAAGAUCUGACAGCCCACCAAGACUUUUCUGUGGUGACGGGAGAAGCCCAGACGGGAUGCACUGAAUGACAUUGAAGGCCGCGUGUCCCUAUUAGUCACAUUUAACAAGUGCCGGGGAGCCUGCUGUGGGUGUCAGCACCUAAUAGCAUGAAGAUUGGAGAUAGCUCAUGAUCGUGAAGACCAUCACAGACAGUCUUGUCCCCAUCCUGCGUGGAUUGCCCUGAAGUCAAAGUCAAAUGAUGAUCUUCCUUUGCUUUUCUGACACUGUCUGGGCAGGGGUUAACGCACAGCAGGCAGGCAAGGAGAUGCCUUUACCGUCAGGAAAUAGUUACGCUCCCCCCCCCACCCCCGCCCCAAGCAGUGUAGCACAGAGGCUUGUUAUAACCAUGGCACCAUACUUUGUAAAUAGUGUCUUUGCCCUUUUUUUUUUUUAAACCAUUGGGAGUGAGUGCGUUAACAACGCCUAUAUGAUUUUCCUUGAUGCUUUAUUUCAGGAAAGCGCCUUUCGUGUGCUAACACGUUUUACUUUUGAAAAUACCAUGGUUCCUAUAAGUCGUUUAAUUUUACAUUGUCUUGUCAAGCACCGAACGUAGAACAUAGCUUUAGACGUAUGACGUAUAGGAAGAUCGAUCAGUGAACACAUUGUUUUAAAGUACCAGUUGUAUGUCAACUGUUAAGCAAAUUAUAACAUUAUUGUUACUUUGAAGAAGGUAAAGUAUGGAAGGAAUUUAAUCAGAGUAAAUGUUCAUAGGAGUUAAGCUAGUGAUGCUAAACUUCUGUAACAUUUUUGUAAUAUUGAAAGUAAUGGGAAAUAACCUAAGUUCUUCCAAAUACAUUAAAUUAACAUUCAUCAGCUGCCAGGACUAACUAGCCUCUCCAUAUCUGUCCCCUUUCUCCUGCCUGCCAUUGACCAGCCUCCGAAUCUGGUCCCACUCUCUUAGCCAGCCUUCCCGUGUGCCCUGACAACAACUCAAUAUUCUAAAUUCUCUGAGCCUAACUCAAGUCUUAUCUCAUCAGACGCCUUUUCCCUCACCUCCCAGCCUAGAUUAUCGGCUCCUUGUGGGGGCAGGGAGGCACGUCAACUCGUCCCUUCCCUGCUCCACCUAGCAUAACGAAGCCUGGGAGCUGGAGUUUCGUAACCACUGCCCGCUGACAAGCUGACACGUGUAGUGUGACUUAUUGGAUACGGCAGGGGGGGUGUGAUGAGGGUGUGUUUCCUCAGGCCGAGAGCAAACCUGACUGUCACCCUGCUUCUCACACCAGUUUAGUCUUGUCUGCUAGUCAUUUGGACACAGGUGCUACAGGAUCUCCCGUGCAGAGCCGUUCAAAGUCCCUAGGGGAUUGGGGUUUUCAUGUAAGGGGUCUUGGAGAGUCCUGGCCUGUACCCGUGUAGAAUAGCUAGGUCUGACACCUGCACCAUCUUUCCGGCUUUCUUACGAUCGGCCAGAAGCUUGCCAUCUAGGAAUGGGUAUCGGUAACAGCUGUUUGCUUUAAUAUAAUACAGUAGGAUGAGUACCAGGGUGUUUUGUUUUGUUUUGUUUUUUCCAGCUCUGCCACUCAGUAAGUGAGAAAUCUCAGGGAAGUCACCUUGGAUCUCUGCAUCAGGGCCUUACCUGUUUUCUAAACCUAUGAGGAGUGAUUCAGGAAAUCAAUGUAGUGGUCAGCAUCCUCACUUUUUAAAAUCAGAGUACCUGGUACGGGAUUUGGGAAGUUUUUGUUUCAGGGGCACAUGCACACAUGCGUGUAUGGGUGUGUGUGUGUGUGUGUGUGUGUGUGUGUACUGGGCUCUGAUUCUUUCUCUGGGACACAGUCAAAAACUACUGAAAGCCCCUGGACCAGAGAAUUCCUGAGUUCUCUUUAAAUCUUAGUGUUCUACAGCAAUUCUCUUCCACGGGAUGUGUCUGUUACAACAGUUGACUUGGCAGUAACCUAGGGCUGCGCGAGCGCAGAUAACCGCCGUGGGUACAGAAUUCAACGGCAGAUGGUCUCCAGCGAGACCGGAGUGCAGAAUUGUCUUUUUCUGCUUUCUUCAGUUGUUCCAGGAAAUGUUCUGUUCUCGGCUCAGCUGGACUCAUGUGUCCAAUCACCGGAAUAAGAGGAGGCUGUACUCUCGUUAGCAAGGCCUGAUUCUCCCUCCCUGGGAACAAGCAUUGGGGUCAGCACCACCUGAACUCUGCAGAGGACAGGAGCAUCUCCCAAAGGAGAAACAAGGGAGGCUAGCCAGGCAUCUAGGAGGAAGCCGGGGCUUUCUGAUGUUCAGCCUUGUUGGUCACGUUCCUAAAGAAAGCACCAUUCAUCCUGAAACCACAGAAACUCGUCAUCAGGCGGAGUCCGUGAUUUUAUCCUCAUGGUCUCAUCUUAAAGGAGAAGACACCAGAACCCUCACCUUUUAUUAGGUGCUGACUAACAGUUCCUAGGACCAUUUUCAGAAAAUGUGAUUCAAGUCCUUAAUAUACAAUACACUGUGGUUUGGAUUAAUCCACAAAGAAUUCA